rnacentral:rRNA from 1 species
GAUGAACGCUGGCGGCGUGCCUAAUACAUGCAAGUCGAGCGAACGGACGAGAAGCUUGCCUCUCUGAUGUUAGCGGCGGACGGGUGAGUAACACGUGGAUAACCUACCUAUAAGACUGGGAUAACUUCGGGAAACCGGAGCUAAUACCGGAUGAUAUUUUGAACCGCAUGGUUCAAAAGUGAAAGACGGUCUUGCUGUCACUUAAAGAUGGAUCCGCGCUGCAUUAGCUAGUUGGUAAGGUAACGGCUUACCAAGGCAACGAUGCAUAGCCGACCUGAGAGGGUGAUCGGCCACACUGGAACUGAGACACGGUCCAGACUCCUACGGGAGGCAGCAGUAGGGAAUCUUCCGCAAUGGGCGAAAGCCUGACGGAGCAACGCCGCGUGAGUGAUGAAGGUCUUCGGAUCGUAAAACUCUGUUAUUAGGGAAGAACAUAUGUGUAAGUAACUGUGCACAUCUUGACGGUACCUAAUCAGAAAGCCACGGCUAACUACGUG